CCACGAUUUCUUAAAAAAAGGAAAUGACACGUAUGCAGGCUUUUUCUCCUUUGUUUUUUUUCUUAAAGAAAAUUAAAAUAAAAUUAUAGUGCAUCACGUGCUUUCCAUGUGAUGCCGGUCGGCGGGAGCCGGAAGGAUGAGAAGACGAUAAAAUAAGUGUUGAAAUACUCCAUCUCCGUUCUCUCCUCAGUCCCUGCGGCUGCCAAAGAUGAAAAUUCCUCAAUUCCACAAUCCCAAUUUACGUAAUUGCGUGCUUCGAUCUCUGGGAUCAAGGUGAAGUAGUUAAAGCUUUGAACAGAGAGAUAAGUUGCACGGUGCCGACUGUCCAUUCUGGGUUUUAGUCGAAUAUAGCCAAGCGAAUAGAACGAAUCAUCUUGUUUUGAUUGAAUACAGACAUGGUCGUUUGGAGUUAAGCACACAUGCGUCCCAUUUUGAUGACACAACUGAAUAAGUAUUGUGCUUAGAGAGAAAAAAAGCUGAACGCUUAGAGCUGGAUCUCAAGCAGCAAACACCUAUAAGUGGAAGCCACACACAUGUUAAAUACAGCAUUGUUCAGGGUAGAUUUGGCUGGCUGCCCAAUGGUAUUCUUAUACAUUCUGGUGUCAGUUGAGGAUAUUGCCAAUAUAGCAGGAAACUCCCAAAUACGGAGGCUUGCAACAUCUGUGGUGGAUCCGAAUCAGAAAUUGAAGAUUGAGACCUGGAAGCUUGAAUAUGUAUAUUGUUUUAUGGAGAAGUUCGUUGGAGGAAGACAGCUUUCAAGUGUGUGGUUUAUUCCGAGAUAACUGAAGUGAUGCAAUUUUCUAUGAUUGAUGGAAGUGGAAGUUCAGCAAAUGAGGGAGGCUUAGCUACCUGAUGUAGGGGUGUGAUACCAUGUUUAAGUCAGCUAAGCUGCUAUAAUUCCACAUUUAAUGCAUCCAUCCCGAAGAGGAAAUUCUAGGAUGCAUUCGAAUCUGACGUCAACGGCGUAGAUGGAGGUAGCAGACUUUUGGUUUUGUUACUAGUUGUAGAUUUGGCAAUUGGAGGGGGUUGUGAAGAAGCUGAAGAUGGAUUUGAAGAAGGAGCCGGCUUAUCCGAGCUACUCUGAGGUUUCUUGUUGUUUGAUGGAUUUGAAGAUGUAGUGGGCUUAUUCGAGCUGCUCUGAGGUUUCUUCUUGUCCCCUUCACCUGAUGGAUUCGAAGAUGGAGUCUGGUUAUUCAAGCUGCUCUGAGGUUUCUUGCUGGUCCCUUCACUUGCCUUGUCCUCCAUCCGAUGGUGGCGAACUUUGGUAGACUUUAAGCUCAUUGGAACGAUACAAUGGCAAACGAAACCUACACACACCAAUAAUUAGUAAGUUACUAAAUUUCUCAUAUCAACAAGUUGCAGAACACCCCCUCAAUGACAGCAAACUCAUGUUGAAGAUUCCUAUCAGUGUUAAAGGCUGCGAAAAACCUUAAUGCAGCCACUGAACUCGGUAGGAAUCUUCUGCAUAAAAAUCAUUGUCAAGGACAAACACUGAGAGUUCUAUGAAUCCUGAUUUCAACAUGCCUAGAAAACAAGGUACUCUCUCCAUCCCAAUUUACAUAACACUUAACUAUUCAAAGUGUUUGAAUUUUGACCAAACAUUUUAAAAUAUGUUUUGCGAAUAUUCAAACAUGUGAAAUAAUAAGUCUGACAUGAAAUCUUACCAA